rnacentral:tRNA from 1 species
GCAGUGGUGUUCAGUGGUAGAAUUCUUGUCUUCCAUGCAAAAGACCUAGGUUCAAUUCCUGGCCAGUGUA